GUCCACGCCCUAAACGAUGUCAACUAGUUGUUCGGUGAGGAGACUCAUUGAGUAACGCAGCUAACGCGUGAAGUUGACCGCCUGGGGAGUACGGCCGCAAGGUUAAAACUCAAAGGAAUUGACGGGGACCCCGCACAAGCGGUGGAUGAUGUGGAUUAAUUCGAUGCAACGCGAAAACCUUACCUACCCUUGACAUGUCAGGAAUCCUUGAGAGAUUGAGGAGUGCCCGAAAGGGAACCUGAACACAGGUGCUGCAUGGCUGUCGU
rnacentral:rRNA from 1 species